rnacentral:rRNA from 1 species
UACGUAGGUGGCAAGCGUUGUCCGGAUUUAUUGGGCGUAAAGCGCGCGCAGGCGGUUUCUUAAGUCUGAUGUGAAAGCCCUCAGCUUAACCGAGGAGGGUCAUUGGAAACUGGGAGACUUGAGUGCAGAAGAGGAAAGUGGAAUUCCAAGUGUAGCGGUGAAAUGCGUAGAGAUUUGGAGGAACACCAGUGGCGAAGGCGACUUUCUGGUCUGUAACUGACGCUGAGGCGCGAAAGCGUGGGGAGCAAACAGG